UACGAAGGGGGCUAGCGUUGUUCGGAAUUACUGGGCGUAAAGCGCGCGUAGGCGGUUUCUCAAGUCAGUGGUGAAAGCCCGGAGCUCAACUCCGGAACUGCCAUUGAAACUGUGAGACUUGAGGACGAGAGAGGUGAGUGGAAUUCCCAGUGUAGAGGUGAAAUUCGUAGAUAUUGGGAAGAACACCGGUGGCGAAGGCGGCUCACUGGCGCGUUUCUGACGCUCAGGCGCGACAGCGUGGGGAUCAAACAGG
rnacentral:rRNA from 1 species